UAGGGAAUCUUCCGCAAUGGACGAAAGUCUGACGGAGCAACGCCGCGUGAGUGAUGAAGGCUUUCGGGUCGUAAAAGCUCUGUUGUUCACGGGAAGAACAAGUAUCGAGAGUAAC
rnacentral:rRNA from 1 species